GCAGAUACAAUUUGAAAAAAUUUCAGAAGACACAAACCUAGAAAAGAAAAAGGUUGCAAGUUCUGAAAUAGUGGAAUCAAAACGGAGCAAACUCACUCAACUUUCUUCCACUUCAAUGCAAGAUUCAAGCUUUAAAAUCCCUAUUAAUAUUCCACCAGAACUCAUCACUGAAAUCCUCUUAAGGCUACCCGUGAAAUCGCUUUUACAAUUCAGGUGGUGAAGCGGGAUUUACCUUGAUCGUAGCAUGACUUCUUGGCUGGUUGUUCCAAUUUGAUCCAAAUGUACCUCAACAUUAUUCGUAAAGUUGAAUCAAGCUUAGUAAAGUUGAAGUAUACCUUCAGAAUUGUGCACUUGUAGUCGGGCCUCCAGCAGUGCCACUGCCACCUCAGUUGGUAUUUUCGAAUCUAUCAUCGCCUAAAAUUUCUUAUUGAAGUUGGGAUUACAUGUUCCCUGCAAUUCUAUUAUUAAAUUCAUGAUUCUUGAUGUGCUUGCACUGUCUUUCUCAAGGUUCAGGGUGGAGUUCACCUGUGUUUGACAGUCUCCUGGCUAGGUUGGUGCUGCUGGCCUAAGUUCAUUGUAAAUUUGUAGGGAGUUGGAUUUGUUAAGGUUCUGAUAUUCAGAGAAAACUUUGAGAGAUUAGGGGGUAAAUAGAACGCACUAUUUUUCUGUUUGGUUUGAGGAACAUCAUGCUUAAGCUUUUUAAGUUCAGAAUAUCUAGACUUCUCUCUAUGAGAACUACCCCUUCGUCCUCCUCUCGUAUCAAUGGCUGCUCCUGUUGAGGCUCAUUUAUGUUGAGAAAGGGGGCUGCUUGUUGCCGAUGAAUCGUAUGUGUUGUGAUCGUUGCUUGUACUCUUCACUUUGGUGCCGCACCCAUGUCGGUACGAUGUGGGUGCGUGAUCGGUACCGGAUCUGGUCAACCGAUGUUGGGUACUUUGACCAGAAUCGACGGAGAAAUUCCAGACAAAUACAAUGACUUCUAAACUAAAAACAAAGCUAGGGUGAAAUUUAAGAAAAUGAAAAAUCUUAUAUCUAGAAAUCUCUAUGUCAGUUCUUUCGUUUUAUCUCCUUUGGAUUCUCUUCUUAAUCAAUAUUUUCUCCUUCUCUACAUAGUUUCAUAAUUUAGAUAUUUUUAAAACUCUAUUUUUAGGUAUUUGAAUUAUUUUUAGUCGAAUCCUCGCCCCUGUAUCUGUAGCCAGAAUCUUAAAAUUUAGAUCAUGAAGGAUCCGACCUCUAGAUUCGCAUCUUAUAUAUAGUAUGUUUGUUUCUUUCUUAAGUGACUUGUGUGUAUAUGCUCAUUGAUGAUUAAAUGAUUUAUAAAGGUUUCAAAGAUGGUAUUUGA